UACGGGAAGGCAGCAGUGGGGAAUAUUGCACAAUGGGCGAAAGCCUGAUGCAGCUAUGCCGCGUGUAUGAAGAAGGCCUUAGGGUUGUAAAGUACUUUCAUCGGGGAGGAAAAAAACAAAACUAAUAAUUUUAUUUCUUGACGUUACCCGAAAAAGAAGCACCGGCUAACUCCGUGCCAGCAGCCGCGGUAAUACGGAGGGUGCUAGCGUUAAUCAGAAUUACUGGGCGUAAAGAGCACGUAGGUGGUUUUUUUAAGUCAGAUGUGAAAUCCCCCGGGCUUAACCUGGAACUGCAUUUUGAAACUGAAAUACUAGAGUAUCGUAGAGGGAGGUAGAAUUCUAGGUGUAGCGGUGAAAUGCGUAGAUAUCUGGAGGAAUACCUGUGGCGAAAGCGGCCUCCUAAACGAAUACUGACACUGAGGGUGCGAAAGCGUGGGGAGCGAAACAGGGAUUUAGA
rnacentral:rRNA from 1 species